rnacentral:pre_miRNA from 14 species
CCAGCACUUUGCUUACUAGUCUUUUAAAUCAAAGUUCUGUGACACUUAGACUCUGAAUAUGAUAGCAGUCAGUGCACUACAGAACUUUGUUUUGGGAGUCUGCAGCUUCUCCUGUGAGUG